CCCCCAACCCCAUGCUACAUCUAACUGUGUCUCAGUUUUCUGCUGCACUUAGAGGAUAAGGAUGAGAGCUGAGGGUGGGGAGAGAAGGAAGAGCAGCAGCAGUAGCAGCUUCAGGAGGCUCCUGAUCACUUAGAAGAGAUGAAGGCUGAGCUACAGUAGGAGAGACUCAGGUUAACCCUGAGAGGGACUUCCCAUACUGAGACCCUGGAGGAAGCCACAUUUCAAAGGCCCCGCGAAACAUUCAAGGACCUUCUUCCAAGGGCACAAUACUGAGCAACAUGGACAAGGUCUGGCCCUAUGGUAAAGUCAGGUCUGGAUCAUGGAAUUGAAUGGGGCACCCGCAUGAGGGGCUGGCUCCUCCCCGUGAAUUCUGGGCACAGACACCCAGACCUGAGCAGGCCCCUCACCCCACAGCGACUGGGGAGCCGGAGCCCGAGUCCCUCCCACCUGCUCCCUCGGUUUCUGAGGGUCUGUCUCAUCCUGCAGCUGGACAGACGUGAUCUUCAGCCCCAAGUUACAGACGCUUAGAGAAGCUGGAGACUUGCACAAUGUCUCAGAGGAAAGAGAGCCAGAACCUGGACCCGUGUUGUACCCCAACCAAACCCUCCAUGGUGGAAGGAAUAGGAGUGGGAAGGGGAGGAGGAGACAUAUGGUCCAGGAGGUUCCAUAUGUACCCACACAUGGACCUCAAAGAGGCCCCCACAGCAAGACAGCAAAUGACAUCCACAGUCACAGAUCACGGAGUGAUUUCAGAUGAAGAUGGUGCUGGCAGGUAGUUGUCACGAGUCAGAGGUUAGGGGUCAGCACUGGAGCUGGCGCUGGAGGUGGGGAGGUUGAUGACUCCAAACAUCAGCUCAGGAGAUACUAGAGAAAGCCCAAGCCGAAAAGAAGUCUGCGCCUAGCAUAGGGCUUCCCAUUUAUUCAGUCCUUCGAGCUGGUAUCUGCCACCACUUUUCCCCAGGCUAAUUCCAGCCAAAAUAGAAUUCUACCUCCAUCUUAAAAUCUGCAAAUAUUUAACCUAAA
rnacentral:lncRNA from 1 species